UCCCUUUUGUUUUGGCCCUAAAACAUAUAAAACAUAUGUUUAUCUUAACUAAACUCAGUCUGCAUGGGAAAUAGGCAAGAAAGAAAGAGUGACAUUGAGUGACAACUGACAAACGAACGUGGCUGCCUGAGCUCUGAAAGUCUGAGUAUUGGUCUUUGCUGGAAACGUCCAAUCUCUGGAGAAAAGGGUUUUCUUCUGCCUUGAAUAGCGUGGCCCCUCCACUAUUUUGUAGCGCGAUACUCCCGGGCGUAUUAACAGUAGGACCCUUUCACUGCACCAAAACUCACGCCAUGAGCCAUCAACAUCUCUGUCUUUACUCUCUCUCUCUCUCUCUCUCUCUAAAUAUUUGAUUGAAAUUUUG
rnacentral:lncRNA from 1 species